GACGAACGCUGGCGGCGUGCUUAACACAUGCAAGUCGAACGGAAAGGCCCUGCUUUUGUGGGGUUCUCGAGUGGCGAACGGGUGAGUAACACGUGAGUAACCUGCCCUUGACUUUGGGAUAACUUCAGGAAACUGGGGCUAAUACCGGAUAGGAUCUCCUGCUGCAUGUUGGGGGUUGGAAAGUUUCGGCGGUUGGGGAUGGACUCGCGGCUUAUCAGCUUGUUGGUGGGGUAGUGGCUUACCAAGGCUUUGACGGGUAGCCGGCCUGAGAGGGUGAACGGCGACAUUGGGACUGAGAUACGGACCAGAAUCCUACGGGAGGCAGCAGUGGGGAAUAUUGCACAAUGGGCGGAAGCCUGAUGCAGCAACGCCGCGUGCGGGAUGACGGCCUUCGGGUUGUAAACCGAUUUCGACUGUGACGAAGCGUGAGUGACGGUAAUGGGUAAAGAAGCAACGGCUAACUACGUG
rnacentral:rRNA from 1 species